UACGUAGUGUGCGAGCGUUGUCCGGAAUUAUUGGGCGUAAAGAGCUCGUAGGCGGCCUGUCGCGUCGGAUGUGAAAGCCCGGGGCUUAACCCCGGGUCUGCAUUCGAUACGGGCAGGCUAGAGUUCGGUAGGGGAGAUCGGAAUUCCUGGUGUAGCGGUGAAAUGCGCAGAUAUCAGGAGGAACACCGGUGGCGAAGGCGGAUCUCUGGGCCGAUACUGACGCUGAGGAGCGAAAGCGUGGGGAGCGAACAGG
rnacentral:rRNA from 1 species